CGAGGCGGGCGGAUCACAAGGUCAGGAGAUCGAGACCAUGGUGAAACCCCNAUGGUCUCGAUCUCCUGACCUCGUGAUCCGCCCGUCUCG
rnacentral:pre_miRNA from 1 species